rnacentral:rRNA from 1 species
AUUGAACGCUGGCGGCAGGCCUAACACAUGCAAGUCGAACGGCAGCGGGAAGUAGCUUGCUACUUUGCCGGCGAGUGGCGGACGGGUGAGUAAUGUCUGGGAAACUGCCCGAUGGAGGGGGAUAACUACUGGAAACGGUAGCUAAUACCGCAUGACGUGUUCGGACCAAAGAGGGGGACCUUAGGGCCUCUUGCCAUCGGAUGUGCCCAGAUGGGAUUAGCUAGGAGGCGGGGUAAUGGCCCACCUAGGCGACGAUCCCUAGCUGGUCUGAGAGGAUGACCAGCCACACUGGGACUGAGACACGGCCCAGACUCCUACGGGAGGCAGCAGUGGGGAAUAUUGCACAAUGGGGGAAACCCUGAUGCAGCCAUGCCGCGUGUGUGAAGAAGGCCUUCGGGUUGUAAAGCACUUUCAGCGAGGAGGAAGGGGUUGUAUUUAAUACAUGCAAUCAUUGACGUUACUCGCAGAAGAAGCACCGGCUAACUCCGUGCCAGCAGCCGCGGUAACAC